rnacentral:rRNA from 1 species
GACGAACGCUGGCGGCGUGCUUAACACAUGCAAGUCGAACGGAAAGGCCCGGCUUUUGUGGGGUGCUCGAGUGGCGAACGGGUGAGUAACACGUGAGUAACCUGCCCUUGACUUUGGGAUAACUUCAGGAAACUGGGGCUAAUACCGGAUAGGAGCUCCUGCUGCAUGGUGGGGGUUGGAAAGUUUCGGCGGUUGGGGAUGGACUCGCGGCUUAUCAGCUUGUUGGUGGGGUAGUGGCUUACCAAGGCUUUGACGGGUAGCCGGCCUGAGAGGGUGACCGGCCACAUUGGGACUGAGAUACGGCCCAGACUCCUACGGGAGGCAGCAGUGGGGAAUAGUGCACAAUGGGCGGAGGCCUGAUGCAGCAACGCCGCGUGCGGGAUGACGGCCUUCGGGUUGUAAACCGCUUUCGCCUGUGACGAGGCGUGAGUGACGGUAAUGGGUAAAGAAGCACCGGCUAACUACGUG